CGACUCCAUGAAGCUGGAUUCGCUAGUAAUCGCGCAUCAGCCACGGCGCGGUGAAUACGUUCCCGGGCCUUGUACACACCGCCCGUCAAGCCAUGGAAGCCGGGAGUGCCUGAAGUGCGUGAGCGCAAGCAGCGCCCUAAGGUAAAACUGGUGACUGGGGCUAAGUCGUAACAAGGUAUC
rnacentral:rRNA from 1 species